GCAGAAGUUUGCUAAACCUGGUUCUGUGUAGAUUAAGCUCAUGAUCACCCCUUUACCAGGAGGCCAUGAUUGCAUGGUGGAAGUGCAGCAUCACAUGCUCCAUGCAGUUAUAUUCAGCUAGUGGGAAGGCUGUCAUCCAAUAUGUUGAUGGUACUGUGUUGUCUAUCAUAUUUCAAACAUCUGAAACUACAAAACUAAAGAACAGAAUGUCUUCGUUUCCCCAUUUAUCAUUUCUGCUCCCAUAGGAUCUGUCAUUGCAGAAUUCAUUUUCAAAGUGAGGUAAGGGAGAAAUUCCU
ensembl:lncRNA